rnacentral:Y_RNA from 1 species
GGUUGGUCUGAGUGCAGUGGUGUUUACAACUAAUUGAUCACAACUAGUUACAGAUCCCUUUGUUCCUUCUCCACUCCCACUGCUUCACUUCACCAGCCUAAA